rnacentral:lncRNA from 1 species
GCUGGUCUCAUAGAAAGAGCAUUUUAAAGUAUGAUUCAUGUGUCUGUUAACGAAAUAAACAUUUACUGUUUCUCUAAUGCCCGCUGGAAAAAUGGAGGGUCAACUAUGCGUGCAGAGGUGUCUCUCCGGCCCCAUCACCCGUGCUAGCUCUUGGAUCCACUUCUUUUUCAUAUGGCCCUCCAGCCACACUGAACACAGUGCCUUCUCUUUUUUGUUUUUCCAACUGCAGAUUUCAACAAUGUCUCACCCAUCUUGGCUGCCACCCAGAAGCACUGGUGAGCCUCUUGGCCAUGUUCCUGCGCGGAUGGAGACCACCCAUUCUUUUGGGACCCCCAGUAUUUCAGUGUCAACACAACAGCCACCCAAGAAGUUUGCUCCAGUGGUUGCUCCAAAACCCAAGUAUAACCCGUACAAGCAGCCCGGAGGAGAGGGUGAGUUCUGGGGACUGGAGUGGGAAAUCAGCUUACAAGAUGAUUUGCUGUCAGAGUUGUAUUGGCAGGAAGUUUCUUGUUAUGUUUACCACAAUUUAUGAAGUGUCCAAUUUUAAUGAGCUCCCUGGUCUCAGUUAUGCCAACUACACUUUAGAAACAAAGGGAUUAAAUUGCACACUGUUAGGAUUGUAUAGUAAUAAAUAUCUAUGAUAAUGU